rnacentral:rRNA from 1 species
UACGAAGGACCCGAGCGUUAUCCGGAUUUAUUGGGUUUAAAGGGUGCGUAGGCGGAUUUACAAGUCAGUGGUGAAAUCUCCCAGCUUAACUGGGAAACUGCCAUUGAAACUGUUUAUCUUGAGUACAUUUGAGGCGGGCGGAAUGUGUCAUGUAGAGGUGAAAUUCUUAGAUAUGACACAGAACACCAAUUGCGAAGGCAGCUCGCUAAACUGUAACUGACGCUGAGGCACGAAAUCGUGGGGAUCAAACAGG